CUGCGAGUGAAGCGGGAAAAGCUCAAAUUUAAAAUCUGGUAGUCUUUGGCUGCCCGAGUUGUAAUCUAGAGAAGCAUUAUCCGCGUUGGACCGUGUACAAGUGUCCUGGAAUGGACCAUCAUAGAGGGUGAGAAUCCCGUCUUUGACACGGACUCCCAAGGCUUUGUGAUGUGCUCUCAAAGAGUCGAGUUGUUUGGGAAUGCAGCUCUAAAUGGGUGGUAAAUUCCAUCUAAAGCUAAAUAUUGGCGAGAGACCGAUAGCGAACAAGUACCGUGAGGGAAAGAUGAAAAGAACUUUGGAAAGAGAGUUAAACAGUACGUGAAAUUGCUGAAAGGGAAACGCUUGAAGUCAGUCGCGUUGGCUGGGGAUCAACCUUGCUUUUUUGCUUGGCUUACUUCCCAGUUGACGGGUCAGCAUCAGUUUUGACCGGUGGAUAAAGGUUAAGGGAAUGUGGCACCCUCGGGUGUGUUAUAGCCCUUGGUCAUAUACAUUGGUUGGGACUGAGGAACUCAGUACUUGUGCUUAGGAUGCUGGCAUAAUGGCUUUAAGCGACCCGUCUUGAAACACGGACCAAGGAGUCUAACAUGCCCGCGAGUGUUUGGGUGGAAAACCCGAGCGCGUAAUGAAAGUGAAAGUUGAGAUCCCUGUCGUGGGGAGCAUCGACGCCCGGACCAGACCUUUUGUGACGGAUCCGCGGUAGAGCGUGUAUGUUGGGACCCGAAAGAUGGUGAACUAUGCCUGAAUAGGGUGAAGCCAGAGGAAACUCUGGUGGAGGCUCGUAGCGAUUCUGA
rnacentral:rRNA from 1 species